rnacentral:rRNA from 1 species
CCCUGCCAUUUGUACACACCGCCCGUCGCUCCUACCGAUUGAAUGGUCCGGUGAGAACGUCGGAUCACGCGCUCGACGCCAGUUCGCUGGUGACUUGCGCGAGAGAAGUAGUUCAAACCUUACCAUUUAGAGGAAGGAGAAGUCGUAACA